rfam:Asian citrus Psyllid, Diaphorina citri - Florida Strain, whole genome shotgun sequence.
GCCAGCGGUGAUAGCACGUUGAAUACACCAGUGCCCACUGGAUCACUAAUGUUAAGCAACGUGGGGCGUGGUUGGUAUAUCCAUGGUGACCGUUUGGGUAGUCGAGAGCUGCUAACU